rnacentral:lncRNA from 1 species
AAACACUACAAAAGAAGUAAAAUAUAAGUCGGAAAUGACUUGUGCUGAAAUCGGAAUGAAAACAGAAGAUUUAAAAUUUUCUAUAAGGAACGGGGUUGAUAUUUUAGCAAAAAAUUCACAGUGUCAGAAAAUUAUGAAAAUUAGAAAAUAUAUCGGAAUUAUUUUUAUGAGGUUAGAUUUAAUGUUUCAUAUCAUUCCGACACCUGAAAAGUAAAAAAUAAAAUUUAACUG